GACGAACGCUGGCGGCGUGCUUAACACAUGCAAGUCGAACGGAAAGGCCUGCUUUCCCUUGUGGAUUGCGGGUACUCGAGUGGCGAACGGGUGAGUAACACGUGAGUGAUCUGCCCCCAACUUGGGUAUAAGCCUGGGAAACUGGGUCUAAUUCCCGCUAGGACUGCAGGGUGGUGCCUGUGGUGGAAAACGAUUUUCUAGUGGUGGGGGAUGAGCUCGCGGCCUAUCAGCUUGUUGGUGGGGUAGUGGCCUACCAAGGCGGCGCCGGGUAGCCGGCCUGGGAGGGUGACCGGGGACAUUGGGACAGAGAUACGGGGGGGGCGCCUACGGGGGACAGCGGCGGGGGGGAGGGAACAAUGGGCGGAAGCCUGAGGGAGGAGCGCCGCGUGCGGGGUUACGGCCUUCUGUUUGGAAGCCGCGUACGCCUGUGGUGGAACGGGUGGGGCGUUAAUGGGUAAAGAAGCACCGGCUAACUACGUG
rnacentral:rRNA from 1 species